UACGUAGGGAGCAAGCGUUGUCCGGAAUCAUUGGGCGUAAAGCGCGCGUAGGCGGCCCGAUAAGUCCGCUGUGAAAGUCAACGGCUCAACUGUUGGAUGCCGGUGGAUACUGUCGGGCUAGAGUACGGAAGAGGCAAGUGGAAUUCCUGGUGUAGCGGUGGAAUGCGCAGAUAUCAGGAAGAACACCUAUGGCGAAGGCAGCUCUCUGGGACGGUACUGACGCUGAGACGCGAAAGCGUGGGGAGCAAACAGG
rnacentral:rRNA from 1 species